GAUGAACGCUGGCGGCGUGCCUAAUACAUGCAAGUCGAGCGAACAGACGAGGAGCUUGCUCCUCUGACGUUAGCGGCGGACGGGUGAGUAACACGUGGAUAACCUACCUAUAAGACUGGGAUAACUUCGGGAAACCGGAGCUAAUACCGGAUAAUAUAUUGAACCGCAUGGUUCAAUAGUGAAAGACGGUUUUGCUGUCACUUAUAGAUGGAUCCGCGCCGCAUUAGCUAGUUGGUAAGGUAACGGCUUACCAAGGCAACGAUGCGUAGCCGACCUGAGAGGGUGAUCGGCCACACGAGAACGGAAACACGGUCCAGACUCCUACGGGAGGCAGCAGUAGGGAAUCUUCCGCAAUGGGCGAAAGCCUGACGGAGCAACGCCGCGUGAGUGAUGAAGGUCUUCGGAUCGUAAAACUCUGUUAUUAGGGAAGAACAAAUGUGUAAGUAACUAUGCACGUCUUGACGGUACCUAAUCAGAAAGCCACGGCUAACUACGUG
rnacentral:rRNA from 1 species